rnacentral:rRNA from 1 species
UACGGAGGGUGCGAGCGUUGUCCGGAAUCAUUGGGCGUAAAGGGCGCGUAGGUGGCCCGGUCAGUUCGUGGUGAAAGCGCGGGGCUCAACUCCGCGUCGGCCAUGAAUACUGCUGGGCUUGAGCACUGUAGAGGCAGGCGGAAUUCCGGGUGUAGCGGUGGAAUGCGUAGAGAUCGGGAGGAACACCUGUGGCGAAGGCGGCCAGCUGGGCCGGACCUGACGCUGAGACGCGAAGGCGUGGGGAGCGAACGGG